AUACAACACUUUAUCUUAGGGUCCUUCUAGCUUUAUAAAAUUAGAUCUUAGUCCCCAUAACUUUUCAUCAGUCCAUGAUUUCAUCCCAAAUUUGAUUUACUGAAGUGGACCAGUUAUAUUAUGCCACGUGUAAUUCCAUUCCAGCAGUUUUUCCUCUUUGAUUUACUGAACGAACCGUUUUUAAGAGUCUUACAGAUUAUAUGUCUAUAAUUCAACCCACAGCCCGAACCACCGUUGCAGGAAUGAAUGUUGAUGUCGACUAGCACGACAACCAAUAGCUGCACAAUGGUUGCCGGCACGACAGCAUCUGACCGAGGUUUCAUCAUCUUCAAUCGUCAACCAAUUGAUAUGCGGUGAAAUUAUCAUCAUUUGCCAUGAAUCCCGCCGCAACAUUGCCACGCGACGCCAACCUCCGCCGGAGCUCCGCUGUCCACGCUACUUGAGCCUAGUGGUUUCCCAUAUUGCAUGCUCCCGCACUUUAAAGAUCUCAGUCACGUAAUUUUUCGGUUUCAUAUUUUGUCUCAGUUCUUCCUUCUUCAAAUCGGCCAGGUAAUUGAGAGAAUGCCGUGAUAACAAAAGCAGAUCAUUUGAGUAGAAGAUUACUGUUGGAAUUGGAUCUAACCAUACAUGUAUGAGACUCUUUUAAGUAGUAGAAACCAAGUUGGAGUACUGUUAGAGAGAGAUUGAAAGCUCAAAUAUUUUAUUAUAUAUAUUUUGGCAAAUGUGCUCAACUGUAUGCGUUGAAGUUUCUGUAUCGGCAAUUAAAUGCAAAUGUCUUGACAUAUGAGUGUCUUUAAGCAGUAAUAAUCCAAAUUAGAGCAA